CCUACGGGUGGCUGCAGUGGGGAAUAUUGGGCAAUGGAGGCAACCCUGACCCAGCAACGCCGCGUGAGGGAAGAAGGUUUUCGGAUUGUAAACUUCUUUUCUCAGGGAAGAAUAGAAGACGGUACCAAUAGAAUAAGCCCCGGCUAACUACGUGCCAGCAGCCGCGGUAAUACGUAGGGGGCAAGCGUUGUCCGGAUGUACUGGGUGGAAAGGGCGUGUAGGCGGGUUGAUAGGUCAGAUGUGAAAUCCUGGGGCUUAACCCCAGGACUUCAUUUGAAACUGUUAGGCUUGAGUACUGGAGAGGAAGGCGGAAUUCCUAGUGUAGCGGUGAAAUGCGUAGAUAUUAGGAGGAACACCAGUGGCGAAGGCGGCUUGCUGGACAGCAACUGACGCUGAGGCUCGAAAGCGUGGGGAGCAAACAGGAUUAGAUACCCCAGUAGUC
rnacentral:rRNA from 1 species